rnacentral:rRNA from 1 species
UACGGGGGGAGCAAGCGUUGUUCGGAUUUACUGGGCGUAAAGGGCGCGUAGGCGGUCAGCACAAGUCGGUUGUGAAAUCUCCGAGCUUAACUCGGAAAGGUCAACCGAAACUGUGCGACUAGAGUGCAGAAGGGGCAACUGGAAUUCUUGGUGUAGCGGUGAAAUACGUAGAUAUCAAGAGGAACACCUGCGGCGAAGGCGGGUUGCUGGGCUGACACUGACGCUGAAGCGCGAAAGCCAGGGGAGCGAACGGG